rnacentral:rRNA from 1 species
GACGAACGCUGGCGGCGUGCUUAACACAUGCAAGUCGAACGGAAAGGCCCUGCUUUUGUGGGGUGCUCGAGUGGCGAACGGGUGAGUAACACGUGAGUAACCUGCCCUUGACCUUUGGGAUAACUUCAGGAAACUGGGGCUAAUACCGGAUAGGAGCUCCUGCUGCAUGGUGGGGUUGAAAGUUUCGGCGGUUGGGGAUGGACUCGCGGCUUAUCAGCUUGUUGGUGGGGUAGUGGCUUACCAAGGCUU